rnacentral:lncRNA from 1 species
AUGAGAGGAGUUUCUUAUAAAAGCUUUCGAAUUCAGAUGUAACCCAGCAAUGCACUCAGACUCCUCUCUGCUGUGGAGAGCUUUUUUUUUUUUUUUUCAUAUUAAACUUUCACUCCAACUUUAUCUUUGUGUUUACAAUUCUUAAUUUUUUUGUCUUGGAUAAAGAACAAAAAACCUGGAGUACUUCUUCAGACAACAAGAAACUUCCAAAUUAAGGUGCAUUGGCAAGAAUGCAACAUAUUUUGAUCCAUUGGCUUGGAAGGAGGGAAUUCAUCAGAAGGGUCUACCCCAUGCUCUUGGAACCUCAAGAAGAGACAAGUUUACCCAACUCACAGUGCUCACUGCUGCAAAGAAGAACAAGCACACAGGCAAAAAGUUUUCCCAGCAAGAAUGCCAGGGUGAAAGGAAAGAUCAAUUGGACCAGAGCACAAGUGCUGCUCCAGUUACUUGGCAGAGUACCUAAUAGUGAUCCACCACAAUACCACCAUAUAUCUGUUUGGGAAUAAACAAGGGCAAGUUGACUGCUUAAGAGUGAUGACAUGCAACUCAGUCUCUUGCAACACCACCUGAGAAAAGGAAGCACUAGCAGGAAGAACAAAUUGAUGGAGAGGAAAAGUGAUGAAUACAGAUAAGAAGCACAGCUGGUGGAGGCUCAUGUGCCAGUUUACUGGGCCUCAGGACAUUCUCCUCUAGAAGGAGGAGACAGCAUGACCCCCACUUUCUUUUAUUUUAUUAUAAUUUAAGUUUUAGGGUACAUGAGCACAAUGUGCAGGUUAGUUACAUAUGU